AUGAACGCUGGCGGCGUGCUUAACACAUGCAAGUCGAACGGUGAAGCCAAGCUUGCUUGGUGGAUCAGUGGCGAACGGGUGAGUAACACGUGAGCAACCUGCCCUGGACUCUGGGAUAAGCGCUGGAAACGGUGUCUAAUACUGGAUAUGAGAUGUGAUCGCAUGGUCAUGUUUGGAAAGAUUUUUCGGUCUGGGAUGGGCUCGCGGCCUAUCAGCUUGUUGGUGAGGUAAUGGCUCACCAAGGCGUCGACGGGUAGCCGGCCUGGGAGGGUGACCGGCCACACUGGGACUGAGACACGGCCCAGACUCCUACGGGAGGCAGCAGUGGGGAAUAUUGCACAAUGGGCGGAAGCCUGAUGCAGCAACGCCGCGUGAGGGAUGACGGCCUUCGGGUUGUAAACCUCUUUUAGCAGGGAAGAAGCGAAAGUGACGGUACCUGCAGAAAAAGCGCCGGCUAACUACGU
rnacentral:rRNA from 1 species